UGAGUCACUGACGUGAUCUUCCUGUCCGGGUUGGCCCCCCCCCCCUUGAGUUGUGCCGUGGGGAAGAUCUUUGUGGGCUAUACUCGGCCUCGUCUCAGAAUAGUAGUUUGGUGGUUGAAGAUAUCCCUCUAGGGGUGUGGGGGCUGUGCUUUGGCAAAGUGGGUGGGGUUAUAUCCUGCCUGUUUGGCCCUGUCCGGGGUAUCGUCGGACGGGGCCACAGUGUCUUCCGACCCCUCCUGUCUCAGCCUCCAGUAUUUAUGCUGCAGUAGUUUGUGUCGGGGGGCUAGGGUCAGUCUGUUAUAUCUGGAGUAUUUAUCCUGUCUUAUCCGGUGUCCUGUGUGAAUUUAAGUAUGCUCUCUCUAAUUCUCUCUUUUUCUCUCUCUUUCUUUCUCUCUCUUGGAGGACCUGAGCCCUAGGACCAUGCCUCAGGACUACCUGGCCUGAUGACUCCUUGCUGCCCCCAGUCCACUUGGCCGUGCUGCUGCUCCAGUUUCAACUGUUCUGACUGCGACUAUGAAACCCUGAUCUGUCCACCGGACGUGCUACCUGUCCCAGACCUGCUGUUUUCAACUCUCUAGAGAAUGCAGGCGCGGUAGAGAUACUCUUAAUGAUCGGCUAUGAAAAGCCAACUGACAUUUACUCCUGAGGUGCUGACUUGCUCCACCCCCGACAACCACUGUGAUUAUUAUUAUUUGACCCUGCUGGUCAUCUAUGAACAUUUUAACAUCUUGGCCAUGUUCUGUUAUAAUCUCCACCCGGCACAGCCAGAAGAGGACUGGCCACCCCUCAUAGCCUAGUUCCUCUAAGUUUCUUCCUAGGUUCUGGCCUUUCUAGGGAGUUUUUCCUAGCCACCGUGCUUCUACACCUGCAUUGCUUGCUGUUUGGGGUUUUAGGCUGGGUUUCUGUACAACACUUUACAACACAUUAUAAAGGCUUUAUAAAUACAUUUGAUUUGAUGAUCCUUCUCUUGCGCCUCCUCCUAAUAGCCCUUAUACACAUUCCAUGAUCGAUCGUUCUAAACACACUUCCUAUCGGUUUGGCAAUUUCCGGUCAAUCUAGUUAUUGACGAAAUAACGUUACUACCAUUAUUUCGCAGUUUUCUACUAGGUGUCUUCAGGACUUGCCUCAAAUUAAUAUUAAUGAUGUACAUCGAAUUGUUAAAUCAGCCUCCGAGACUAGCUAGCAAGAAUGAAAAGGGGUUCAAGAUGUAUAUAUGAAGCUACAUAGACAACUAUGAAGAUGGUGUUUCAGCACUCCGUACCAGUGAUAGUGGUCCAAAGCCACUGCUCCUGUGUUGCAGGAAGUGCUCUGUGCAAUCAUCUGGUGUCUCUUCUUUACCAGACAGCGCACUACUCUCAAGUAAACAUUCCUGCUGCACCACCAGUUCACAGCUGCACAGACACAGAACAGCGUUGGCACAAGCCAAGAACACUUGUGAGUCUAUCAAUAUCCAUAAAAAAAUGCACCUGAAAAGUAUUCAGCCUAUGUAACAGUAAAUCAUUGUUAAUUAGGGUGUGAAACCAGGUCCGGUUGAUGGGAUAGAGUUCUGUAAACUUACUAACUCGUGUGCUGAUGGAAUAAGAAGUUCUCUCUACAAAGCACUCAAUGGAUACAUGCCUGACAUGGACCUACUCCGCGUCUCAGAAACGGAUGCCAACUUUUCUCCACUUACUGCCCCUCUUGUGACAACAAUGGAAAUGUCAGCUGACGUGCCCCUGGUUGAGUCCGCUUUUGGGCCAGUGCAAGCCGGCAGUGUUCUGUCCUAUCAGCUUCCACAGCCAAAGACCCGUGAAAUUGUGAAGAUUGCCGAUGCCCCUUCUCCACCAAUACUUCCAUUAGAUGGCUACAUGCUUCAGUCUUCCCAGUGUGCUUACGUCCUUAGCCAUCAGGAGCAGUUCCACCUCAAGGCAUUAGAGACAACCUACGAGAUGUCAUACAAAGUUGUCGUUUCCGAGAGGUUUGCCAUGUCCGGGGAGAGACCUCACCUCAGACCACCUAGCUGAGCGGAUGUUCAAGGUAUCUGGUAUGCAGACCAUGGAGAUGAAGAGGGGGCUUGCCAUGGAGCCAGAGGCUGUACAGGAGUACUGCACACUGAAGAAUGUUAACUUCUUUCCGUGUGGCUUCGUAGUGCACCCAGAUGCCCCGUGGUUAGGAUCCUUUCCAGAUGGCAUCAUAUUUGAUCCCAGUGUAAGACCACACUUUGGACUCUUAGAGGUCAAGUGCCCAAAUGUACCAAGUUAUGUUGACUGCCCUUACCUGAAGAUACAGAAUAGAGAGCUGAAGUUGAAGAGAUCUCAUGUUUACUACUGGCAGGUGCAAGGUCAAAUCCUUCUCACAGAUUGUAACUGGUGUGACUUUGUCAUCUGUGCACAGGAGGACAUCCUAGUUGAAAGGACGUAUAAAGAUCUACAGGUUUCAAAAACUAUAAGAGGGAAGGUUGACCACUUAUGCUUACCACUACUUGCAGAAGUGUCUAUCUCGCACCUGAAUGGAUCCCCUGCAUGGGUGCCAAGUUUAGUGGUUUUAGGAAAAAUAAGUAUUGUUCUUGUGAAGAAAUCUACAGUAGAAUAGAUUUGUUUAAAAAAUGUAUUUCAGCAAAUGUUCAACAGUUCAGUUAAUCAAUUACACAUCUCUGACAUUGUA